rnacentral:rRNA from 1 species
CAGCCGUAAACUAUGCGCGUUAGGUGUAUCGGUGACCACGAGUUACCGAGGUGCCGAAGGGAAACCGUGAAACGUGCCGCCUGGGAAGUACGGUCGCAAGGCUGAAACUUAAAGGAAUUGGCGGGGGAGCACCACAACAGGUGGAGCCUGCGGUUUAAUUGGACUCAACGCCGGGAAGCUCACCGGAUAGGACAGCAGAAUGAUUGCCGGGCUGAAGACCCUGCAUGACUAGCUGAGAGGUGGUGCAUGGCGUCAGUGACU